rnacentral:misc_RNA from 1 species
GAUGAAGAACGUAGCGAAAUGCGAUAAGUAGUGUGAAUUGCAGAAUUCAGUGAAUCAUCGAAUCUUUGAACGCACAUUGCGCCCCAUGGUAUUCCGUGGGGCAUGCCUGUUCGAGCGUCAUUUAUCCCCUCAAGCUCCGCUUGGUGUUGGGCGUCUGUCCCGCUUCGCGCGCGGACUCGCCCCAAAGGUAUUGGCAGCGGUCGUGCCAGCUUCUCGCGCAGCACAUUGCGCUUCUCGAGGCACCGGUGGGCCCGCGUCCAUCAAGCUCACCCCCCCAGUUUGACCUCGGAUCAGGUAGGGAUACCCGCUGAACUUAAGCAUAUCAAUAAGCGGAGGA